GUUGAAGAAGAAGAAGAAGAAAGAAAAGAAAAAAGGCGGAAAAAAUGGAAAGCAGUAGCAGCGCCGGCAGUAGUAAGAUGGAGUACAUUUUUGAAUGGAGCAGGGAGCAGACAGAGGAGUUGAUAGAACUCCGUGGGCAAAAUGACCACCUUUUUACCGGCGCCAAAAAUACUGCUGCAGUCGGUUGGAGAACAAUCCUGCAGAAAAUGGGCCUGGAGGGAAAAGUUGAGCCACAACAGGCCAAACAAAAAUGGGACAACCUAAAAAAAAAAUACAAAGUAUGUUCAGGUUUGGAUAAUGUAAUGAAAUACACACACACACACA